GUGCUCGCUUUGGCAGCACAUAUACUAAAACUGGAGCGACACAGAGAGGAUUAGCAUGGUUCCUGUGCAAGGGUGACUGACCUGCAAAUUUGUGCAGCAUUCCAUAGUUCU